UUAUAGGUAACGUAUGCUCUAAAUGCUAGUAAAUGCACCCGGAAACGUACAACAGUUUCCCUCCAGAGAGGUUACGACGUACCGAGUGUAUCCAGUCGGUAGGCCCGGUGCUCUCCGAAUGUUAGUCUCCGACUGGAUGAUUCUGGGCCUGUUACCGACUGGAUGAUGGGGGCACCUUAAUUCAGUCGGGGCAUACUUAAAGUCCUGUCCCUUGUGUGGGGUAGUCCUUGGGUAGGACAUGUAGGGCAGGCCUAUGACCCUACCCUAGGACUAUGACCCCAUCAUUAGUCCCCGAAUGGAUUGGGGUUGAAACGUCGAAGCAGUGCUCGAGGUUCAGAUCCGACUGGACUAGGUUCGGCUUGGGCGUUGCUUGCCUCUAUCUAUUUUAUCUCUCCUG
rnacentral:lncRNA from 1 species